CGUCGUCGUCAUCAUUCUCCACCUUUGGACUUAAAAUUUGACCAGAUCAGAUUACACAGAAUAAAUAUUAUUUUUAAACUAAUAAGCAUAUUAUUUUAUACUUAUGAAUUAAUAAUUAAUUGUUACAUUAUUUAAAAAUAGUUAAGCUUCCAAAAUGCUUUGUAAUCUUGUUGCUGAAAAAUCUUUUUUAAUAUCAAUGUAAUGGAUAUCUGAUGAUGAAUUGAUAGCAAUAUUUGCAGCGAUUGUUAUACAUAAUUGUGUUUUUCCUGCUGAUGAUUUUCCACAUAUUUCAUAUAUUCUACAUGCAUAUAAACCACCGCUUAAUAAAUUAUCUAGACUACAAUCAACAAAAUAAUUGAAAUAAAUUGCCGUUGCUGCUCUAAUAAUACCAAUGGAUCUUUAUCAAUUCCACUAAAUCUUUCAGCUAUUUCUUUUCUAACAGUUUCAAUAGUCUGUAGUUUAAAUAAAUAAAUUAAUUUAUUAAUUA